UUAAGUGACUAAGCGUACACGGUGGAUGCCUUGGCAGUCAGAGGCGAUGAAAGACGUAGUAACUUGCGAUAAGCCCAGAUUAGGUAGUAACAACCAUUUGAGUCUGGGAUUUCUGAAUGGGGAAACCCACGUGCAUAAGCACGUAUCCUUACCUGAAUACAUAGGGUAAGGAGGCGAACCGGGGGAACUGAAACAUCUAAGUACCCCGAGGAAAAGAAAUCAACCGAGAUUCCGAAAGUAGCGGCGAGCGAAAUUGGACUAGCCCUUAAGCUUUACACGCGUUAGACGAACGGUCUGGAAAGUCCGACGAUACAGGGUGAUAGUCCCGUAGUUGACGACGUGUGUUCAGUGAAAUCGAGUAGGGCGGGACACGUGAUAUCCUGUCUGAAUAUGGGGGGACCAUCCUCCAAGGCUAAAUACUACUGACUGACCGAUAGUGAACCAGUACCGUGAGGGAAAGGCGAAAAGAACCCCUGUGAGGGGAGUGAAAUAGAACCUGAAACCGUGUACGUACAAGCAGUAGGAGCAGGCUUUGUCCUGUGACUGCGUACCUUUUGUAUAAUGGGUCAGCGACUUAUAUUCAGUGGCAAGGUUAACCAUCUAGGGGAGCCGUAGGGAAACCGAGUCUUAACUGGGCGUUCAGUCUCUGGAUAUAGACCCGAAACCAGGUGAUCUAGCCAUGGGCAGGUUGAAGGUUGAGUAACAUCAACUGGAGGACCGAACCGACUAAUGUUGAAAAAUUAGCGGAUGACUUGUGGCUAGGGGUGAAAGGCCAAUCAAACCUGGAGAUAGCUGGUUCUCCCCGAAAGCUAUUUAGGUAGCGCCUCGGACGAAUACUACUGGGGGUAGAGCACUGUUAAGGCUAGGGGGUCAUCCCGACUUACCAACCCUUUGCAAACUCCGAAUACCAGUAAGUACUAUCCGGGAGACACACGGCGGGUGCUAACGUCCGUCGUGGAGAGGGAAACAACCCAGACCGCCAGCUAAGGUCCCAAAUUACUACUAAGUGGGAAACGAUGUGGGAAGGCUCAGACAGCCAGGAUGUUGGCUUAGAAGCAGCCAUCAUUUAAAGAAAGCGUAAUAGCUCACUGGUCGAGUCGGCCUGCGCGGAAGAUGUAACGGGGCUAAGUAGUAAACCGAAGCUGCGGCAAUAUACUUUUGUAUAUUGGGUAGGGGAGCGUUCUGUAAGCGGUUGAAGGUGUGUGGUAACGCAUGCUGGACGUAUCAGAAGUGCGAAUGCUGACAUGAGUAACGAUAAAGGGGGUGAAAAACCUCCUCGCCGGAAGACCAAGGGUUCCUGUCCAACGUUAAUCGGGGCAGGGUAAGUCGACCCCUAAGGCGAGGCCGAAAGGCGUAGUCGAUGGGAAACGGGUUAAUAUUCCCGUACUUCUUACAAUUGCGAUGGGGGGACGGAGAAGGCUAGGUGGGCCUGGCGACGGUUGUCCAGGUUCAAGUGCGUAGGCUUAAGAGUUAGGUAAAUCCGGCUCUUUCUAAGGCUGAGACACGACGUCGAGCACCUACGGGUGUGAAGUCAUUGAUGCCAUGCUUCCAGGAAAAGCCUCUAAGCUUCAGAUUGUAAGGAAUCGUACCCCAAACCGACACAGGUGGUCGGGUAGAGAAUACCAAGGCGCUUGAGAGAACUCGGGUGAAGGAACUAGGCAAAAUGGUACCGUAACUUCGGGAGAAGGUACGCUCUUGAUGGUGAAGUCCCUUGCGGAUGGAGCUGACGAGAGUCGCAGAUACCAGGUGGCUGCAACUGUUUAUUAAAAACACAGCACUGUGCAAAAUCGUAAGAUGACGUAUACGGUGUGACGCCUGCCCGGUGCCGGAAGGUUAAUUGAUGGGGUUAGACUUCGGUCGAAGCUCUUGAUCGAAGCCCCGGUAAACGGCGGCCGUAACUAUAACGGUCCUAAGGUAGCGAAAUUCCUUGUCGGGUAAGUUCCGACCUGCACGAAUGGCGUAAUGAUGGCCACGCUGUCUCCACCCGAGACUCAGUGAAAUUGAAAUCGCUGUGAAGAUGCAGUGUACCCGCGGCUAGACGGAAAGACCCCGUGAACCUUUACUACAGCUUGGCACUGAACAUUGACCCUACAUGUGUAGGAUAGGUGGGAGGCUUUGAAGCACGUACGCCAGUAUGUGUGGAGCCGUCCUUGAAAUACCACCCUUGUAGUGUUGAUGUUCUAACGUCGACCCCUUAUCGGGGUUGCGGACAGUGCCUGGUGGGUAGUUUGACUGGGGCGGUCUCCUCCCAAAGAGUAACGGAGGAGCACGAAGGUGGGCUAAUCACGGUUGGACAUCGUGAGGUUAGUGCAAUGGCAUAAGCCCGCUUGACUGCGAGAAUGACAAUUCGAGCAGGUGCGAAAGCAGGUCAUAGUGAUCCGGUGGUUCUGAAUGGAAGGGCCAUCGCUCAACGGAUAAAAGGUACUCCGGGAUAACAGGCUGAUACCGCCCAAGAGUUCAUAUCGACGGCGGUGUUUGGCACCUCGAUGUCGGCUCAUCACAUCCUGGGGCUGAAGUCGGUCCCAAGGGUAUGGCUGUUCGCCAUUUAAAGUGGUACGCGAGCUGGGUUUAGAACGUCGUGAGACAGUUCGGUCCCUAUCUGCCGUGGGCGUUGGAAGAUUGAAGGGGGCUGCUCCUAGUACGAGAGGACCGGAGUGGACGAACCUCUGGUGUUCGGGUUGUGUCGCCAGACGCAUUGCCCGGUAGCUAAGUUCGGAAUCGAUAACCGCUGAAAGCAUCUAAGCGGGAAGCGAGCCCUGAGAUGAGUCUUCCCUGAUACUUUAAGUAUCCUAAAGGGUUGUCGGAGACUACGACGUUGAUAGGUCAGGUGUGUAAGUGCUGUGAGGCAUUGAGCUAACUGAUACUAAUUGCCCGUGAGGCUUAACCAU
rnacentral:rRNA from 1 species